rnacentral:pre_miRNA from 1 species
GAGACAAUCUUAUGGGGCAGGACUUGCUUCAGUGGGGCUUUGGUGCUCACUGAGUCCGCCCCCUGAGUGCCUUGCU